rnacentral:rRNA from 1 species
GUGAACGCUAGCGACAGGCUUAACACAUGCAAGUCGAGGGGCAGCGGGGAGGCAGCGAUGCCUCCGCCGGCGACCGGCGCACGGGUGAGUAACACGUAUGAAACCUGCCCGGAGCAGGGGGAUAAGCGGAAGAAAUUCCGUCUAAUACCGCGUAAUGAGGCGGGGAGGCAUCUCCCCGCUUCCAAAGAUUUAUCGGCUCCGGAUGGUCAUGCGGCGCAUUAGCUGGUUGGCGGGGUAACGGCCCACCAAGGCGACGAUGCGUAGGGGUUCUGAGAGGAAGGCCCCCCACACUGGUACUGAGACACGGACCAGACUCCUACGGGAGGCAGCAGUGAGGAAUAUUGGUCAAUGGCCGGGAGGCUGAACCAGCCAAGUCGCGUGAGGGAUGACGGCCCUACGGGUUGUAAACCUCUUUUGCCGGGGAGCAAGAACCGCCUCGCGCAGGCGGACUGAGAGUACCCGGAGAAAAAGCAUCGGCUAACUCCGUGCCAGCAGCCGCGGUAAUACGGAGGAUGCGAGCGUUAUCCGGAUUCAUUGGGUUUAAAGGGUGCGCAGGCGGGCGGUCAAGUCAGCGGUAAAAUCGUGGGGCCCAACCCCAUCCCGCCGUUGAAACUGGCCGUCUUGAGUGGGCGAGAAGUAUGCGGAAUGCGUGGUGUAGCGGUGAAAUGCAUAGAUAUCACGCAGAACUCCGAUUGCGAAGGCAGCAUACCGGCGCCCGACUGACGCUCAUGCACGAAAGCGUGGGUAUCGAACAGGAUUAGAUACCCUGGUAGUCCACGCAGUAAACGAUGAAUACUAAUUGUCCGGGGCGAAUGAGCCCUGGGUGAUACAGCGAAAGCGUUAAGUAUUCCACCUGGGGAGUACGCCGGCAACGGUGAAACUCAAAGGAAUUGACGGGGGCCCGCACAAGCGGAGGAACAUGUGGUUUAAUUCGAUGAUACGCGAGGAACCUUACCCGGGCUCAAACGGCACAGGAAUACUUUUGAAAGGAGGUAGCCCUACGGGGCCUGUGCCGAGGUGCUGCAUGGUUGUCGUCAGCUCGUGCCGUGAGGUGUCGGCUUAAGUGCCAUAACGAGCGCAACCCCCACCGUCAGUUGCCAGCAGGUAAGGCUGGGGACUCUGACGGGACUGCCGGCGCAAGCUGUGAGGAAGGCGGGGAUGACGUCAAAUCAGCACGGCCCUUACGUCCGGGGCGACACACGUGUUACAAUGGCAGGUACAGAGAGAAGCCAGGUGGUGACACCGAGCGGAACUUCAAAGCCUGUCUCAGUUCGGAUCGGAGUCUGCAACCCGACUCCGUGAAGCUGGAUUCGCUAGUAAUCGCGCAUCAGCCAUGGCGCGGUGAAUACGUUCCCGGGCCUUGUACACACCGCCCGUCAAGCCAUGGAAGCCGGGAGUGCCUGAAGUGUGCGACCGCAAGGAGCGCCCUAAGGUAAAACCGGUGACUGGGGCU